rnacentral:lncRNA from 1 species
GCCAUGAAAACGUGUACUAUAGGUCACGGGAGGCCUAAGACAGCCACACCAGCCACCGAGGUUGAAAACGUGUAGGAUGGACCGAAGACGUGAAAACUGCCUCCGGACCCGUUUUCGGCCAUGAAAACGUGUGCUAGGUCAUGACAGCAUGAAAACAGAUAGACCGACCACCGGGGUCGAAAACAUGGUGGAUGGGCCAAAGACGUGUAAAUGGCCUCAUGACCCAUUUUGGGCCAUGAAAACUUGAGGUAUAGGUCAUGGGACUCCGAAAAUGGCUACACCAGCCACCGGGUUUGAAAACGUGGGGAUGGACCGAAGAUGUAAAAAUGACCUCCAAAAUCAUGUUCGGCCCUGAAAACGUGUGCUAUAGGUCACGGGAGCCCAAAAAGGGUCGCACCAACCGCCGGGGUGGAAAACAUGGGGAAUGGACCAACGACGUGAAAAUGGCCUCCGAACCCGUUUUCGGCCAUGAAAACAUGUGCUAUAGGUCACGGGAGCAGGAUAACAGCCACACGGACCUCCUGGGUCGAAAACGUACAAAAUGAACCGAAGACGUGAAAAUGACCUCCAGACCCGUUUUCGGCUAGAAAACGUGUGUUAUA